rnacentral:rRNA from 1 species
CCCUUAGACACUCUAGGCGGCACGCGCGCUACAAUGGGUGGAAGAACGUGUUACUGCCUCCGAAAGGAGGGGUGAAUCACGAAUUCUUGCCCGUGAAUGGGAUAGUUUGUUGCAAUUUUCGGACUUGAACUAGGAAUCCCUUGUAAACAUGCUCAAGAAUAGCGUGUUGAAUACUUCCCUGCCGUUUGUACACACCGCCCGUCGUUUCUUCCGACUGAUACUCAUUGUGAGUUGCAAGGACCCUUUAUUGGGAAAUUGCUGCAAAUGCUUUGUAUUGGAGGAAGAAAAAGUCGUAACA